rnacentral:piRNA from 1 species
UAAGAGCGCUACCAAGAACCACCGCUGGGGA